CCUACGGGGGGCAGCAGUGAGGAAUAUUGGUCAAUGGCCGAGAGGCUGAACCAGCCAAGUCGCGUGAGGGAAGACGGCCCUACGGGUUGUAAACCUCUUUUGUCGGGGAGCAAAGCGAACCACGUGUGGUUCAUUGAGAGUACCCGAAGAAAAAGCAUCGGCUAACUCCGUGCCAGCAGCCGCGGUAAUACGGGGGAUGCGAGCGUUAUCCGGAUUUAAUGGGUUUAAAGGGUGCGCAGGCGGAGGUGCAAGUCAGCGGUCAAAUUGCGGGGCUCAACCCCGUAGUGCCGUUGAAACUGCAUGCCUUGAGUGCGCGAGAGGUAUGCGGAAUGCGUGGUGUAGCGGUGAAAUGCAUAGAUAUCACGCAGAACUCCGGUGGCGAAGGCAGCAUACCGGCGCGCAACUGACGCUCAUGCACGAAAGCGUGGGUAUCGAACAGGAUUAGAUACCAUAGUAGUC
rnacentral:rRNA from 1 species